GAUGAAUGCUGGCGGCGUGCCUAACACAUGCAAGUCGAGCGGUAACAGGAGUAGUUUACUACUUGCUGACGAGCGGCGGACGGCUGAGUAACGCGUGGGAACGUGCCCCAAAGUGAGGAAUAACUGCCCGAAAGGGUAGCUAAUACCGCAUAUGAUCUUCGGAUUAAAGGAUUUAUCCGCUUUGGGAGCGGCCCGCGUAGGAUUAGGUAGUUGGUGAGGUAAUGGCUCACCAAGCCGACGAUCGUUAACUGGUCUGAGAGGAUGAUCAGUCAGACUGGAACUGAGACACGGUCCAGACUCCUACGGGAGGCAGCAGUGAGGAAUCUUCCACAAUGGGCGAAAGCCUGAUGGAGCAACGCCGCGUGCAGGAUGAAGGCCUUCGGGUUGUAAACUGCUUUUAUAAGUGAAGAAUAUGACGGUAACUUAUGAAUAAGCACCGGCUAACUACGUGCCAGCCGCCGCCGUAA
rnacentral:rRNA from 1 species